UGGGGAAUAUUGGACAAUGGGCGAAAGCCUGAUCCAGCCAUGCCGCGUGUGUGAAGAAGGUCUUCGGAUUGUAAAGCACUUUAAGUUGGGAGGAAGGGCAGUUACCUAAUACGUGAUUGUUUUGACGUUACCGACAGAAUAAGCACCGGCUAACUCUGUGCCAGCAGCCGCGGUAAUACAGAGGGUGCAAGCGUUAAUCGGAAUUACUGGGCGUAAAGCGCGCGUAGGUGGUUUGUUAAGUUGGAUGUGAAAUCCCCGGGCUCAACCUGGGAACUGCAUUCAAAACUGACUGACUAGAGUAUGGUAGAGGGUGGUGGAAUUUCCUGUGUAGCGGUGAAAUGCGUAGAUAUAGGAAGGAACACCAGUGGCGAAGGCGACCACCUGGACUGAUACUGACACUGAGGUGCGAAAGCGUGGGGAGCAAACAGGAU
rnacentral:rRNA from 1 species